GGGUUGUGAGGUUAAGCGACUAAGCGUACACGGUGGAUGCCCUGGCAGUCAGAGGCGAUGAAGGACGUGCUAAUCUGCGAAAAGCGUCGGUAAGGUGAUAUGAACCGUUACAGCCGGCGAUGUCCGAAUGGGGAAACCCAGUGUGAUUCGUCACACUAUCGUUAACUGAAUACAUAGGUUAACGAGGCGAACCGGGGGAACUGAAACAUCUAAGUACCCCGAGGAAAAGAAAUCAACCGAGAUUCCCCCAGUAGCGGCGAGCGAACGGGGAGCAGCCCAGAGUCUGAAUCAGCUUGUGUGUUAGUGGAACGGUCUGGAAAGUCCGACGGUACAGGGUGAUAGUCCCGUACACCAAAAUGCACAGGCUGUGAACUCGAAGAGUAGGGCGGGACACGUGGUAUCCUGUCUGAAUAUGGGGGGACCAUCCUCCAAGGCUAAAUACUCCUGACUGACCGAUAGUGAACCAGUACCGUGAGGGAAAGGCGAAAAGAACCCCGGCGAGGGGAGUGAAAAAGAACCUGAAACCGUGUACGUACAAGCAGUGGGAGCACCUU
rnacentral:rRNA from 1 species